CCUUACGGCCACACCAGUGUGAAUGCAUCUAAUCUCUUCUGAUCUCAGAAGCUAAACACAUUUGGGCUCGAUCAGUACUUGGAUGAGAGACUGCCUGGGAACACCAAGUGCUGUAAGCU
rnacentral:rRNA from 1 species